rnacentral:rRNA from 1 species
GACGAACGCUGGCGGCGUGCUUGACACAUGCAAGUCGAACGGAAAGGCCCUGCUUUUGUGGGGUGCUCGAGUGGCGAACGGGUGAGUAACACGUGAGUAACCUGCCCUUGACUUUGGGAUAACUUCAGGAAACUGGGGCUAAUACCGGAUAGGAGCUCCUGCUGCAUGGUGGGGGUUGGAAAGUUUCGGCGGUUGGGGAUGGACUCGCGGCUUAUCAGCUUGUUGGUGGGGUAGUGGCUUACCAAGGCUUCGACGGGUAGCCGGCCUGAGAGGGUGACCGGCCACAUUGGGACUGAGAUACGGCCCAGACUCCUACGGGAGGCAGCAGUGGGGAAUAUUGCACAAUGGGCGGAAGCCUGAUGCAGCAACGCCGCGUGCGGGAUGACGGCCUUCGGGUUGUAAACCGCUUUCGCCUGUGACGAAGCGUGAGUGACGGUAAUGGGUAAAGAAGCACCGGCUAACUACGUG